AUUGAACGCUGGCGGCAGGCCUAACACAUGCAAGUCGAACGAGUGGCGGACGGGUGAGUAAUGUCUGGGAAACUGCCUGAUGGAGGGGGAUAACUACUGGAAACGGUAGCUAAUACCGCAUACCAUCAGAUGUGCCCAGAUGGGAUUAGCUAGUUGGUGGGGUAACGGCUCACCAAGGCGACGAUCCCUAGCUAGUCUGAGAGGAUGACCAGCCACACUGGAACUGGAACAGGGUCCAGACUCCUACGGAAGGCAGCGGUGGGGAGUAUUGGACAAGGGGCGCAAGCCUGAUGCGGACAUGCCGGGUGGAUGAAGAAGGCCUUCGGGUUGUAAAGUACGUUCAGCGGGGAGGCGUUACCCGCAGAAGAAGCACCGGCUAACUCCGUGCCAGCCGCCGCGGUAAUAC
rnacentral:rRNA from 1 species